rnacentral:rRNA from 1 species
GGCCCCGCACAAGCGGUGGAGUAUGUGGUUUAAUUCGAUGCAACGCGAAGAACCUUACCAGGGUUUGACAUCCUGCGAAUCUCUUGGAAACUUGAGAGUGCCUUCGGGAGCGCAGUGACAGGUGGUGCAUGGCUGUCGUCAGCUCGUGUCGUGAGAUGUUGGGUUAAGUCCCGCAACGAGCGCAACCCACGUCUUUAGUUGCCAGCAUUUAGUUGGGCACUCUAGAGAGACCGCCGGUGAUAAACCCGGAGGAAGGUGGGGAUGACGUCAAAUCAUCACGGCCCCUUACGUCCUGGGCUACACACGUGCUACAAUGGUCGGUACAGAGAGCAGCCACUACGCGAGUAGGAGCGAA